rnacentral:sRNA from 1 species
GUGCCACGGCCGUCUGAGCUAAGACGUUAACAACCCGAAAAGGCGCAGAUUACUGCGCCUUUUUU